UGAGCUGAAGUUCCCUGCGUAAAGAUG
rnacentral:piRNA from 1 species